rnacentral:piRNA from 1 species
UGAGAUCUGGCUCCCAGGGGGAAC